rnacentral:rRNA from 1 species
GAUGAACGCUAGCGGCAGGCUUAAUACAUGCAAGUCGAGGGGCAGCAGGGGUAGCAAUACUCGCUGGCGACCGGCAAACGGGUGCGGAACACGUACACAACUUUCCUUUAAGUGGGGAAUAGCCCGGGGAAACCCGGAUUAAUACCCCGUAAUAUUAUGAGAUGGCAUCAUUUUAUAAUUAUAGCUCCGGCGCUUAAAGAUGGGUGUGCGGCUGAUUAGGUAGUUGGCGGGGUAACGGCCCACCAAGCCUACGAUCAGUAACUGGUGUGAGAGCACGACCAGUCACACGGGCACUGAGACACGGGCCCGACUCCUACGGGAGGCAGCAGUAAGGAAUAUUGGUCAAUGGACGCAAGUCUGAACCAGCCAUGCCGCGUGGAGGAUGAAGGUCCUCUGGAUUGUAAACUUCUUUUAUUUGGGAAGAAACCCACUGUUUCUACGGUGGUUGACGGUACCAGAUGAAUAAGCACCGGCUAACUCCGUGCCAGCCGCCGCCGUAACAC